rnacentral:rRNA from 1 species
CGCUAGCGGGAGGCUAAUACAUGCAAGUCGAACGGUAACAGGGCAGAACUUCGGUUCAGCCGCUGACGAGUGGCGCACGGGUGAGUAACGCGUACAUAACCUGCCUUCAAGAGAGGGAUAGCCCUGGGAAACCGGGAUUAUACCUCAUAGUAUUGCUAAGUCGCAUGGCUGUGCAAUUAAAGUUUCGGCGCUUGAAGAUGGAUGUGCGUGCCAUUAGCUAGUUGGUAAGGUAACGGCUUACCAAGGCAACGAUGGCUAGGGGGCGUGAGAGCGUGACCCCCCACACGGGUACUGAGACACGGACCCGACUCCUACGGGAGGCAGCAGUAAGGAAUAUUGGACAAUGGAGGCAACUCUGAUCCAGCCAUCCCGCGUGCAGGAUGACUGCCCUAUGGGUUGUAAACUGCUUUUAUUUGGGAAGAAACCUGUUCAUUUACUGAACAGUUGACGGUACCUUAUGAAUAAGCACCGGCUAACUCCGUGCCAGCAGCCGCGGUAAUACGGAGGGUGCAAGCGUUAUCCGGAAUCACUGGGUUUAAAGGGAGCGUAGGCGGCAUGAUAAGUCAGAGGUGAAAGGCUGUAGCUUAACUAUGGAAUUGCCUUUGAUACUGUUGUGCUUGAAUCGAGUUGAGGUCAGCAGAAUGUGACAUGUAGCGGUGAAAUGCAUAGAUAUGUCAUAGAAUACCAAUUGUGAAGACAGCUGGCUGGACUUGUAUUGACGCUGAGGCUCGAAAGCGUGGGGAGCAAACCAGGAUUAGAUACCCUGGUAGUCCACGCCCUAAACGAUGUUUACUCGAUGUUGGCUUUUUAAAGUCAGCGUCACAAGGGAAACCAAUUUAAAGUAAACCACCUGGGGGAAGUACGUCGGUCAACGAUGAAACUCAAAGGAAUUGACGGGGGUCCGCACAAGCUGUUGGAGCAUGUGGUUAUAUUCGAUGAUACGCGAGGAACCUUACCUUGGGCUCGAAUGGUACCGGACCAUUCCUGAAAAGGAUUU